UUGAUAUUAUGAACUUUGCCGAACAUUUUUUUUUCAAUAGGAAGACAAAAUAUACAAAUGUAUAAAGCUUAUAUAUAGGGAGAAGAUCACAUGUUUUCUCCCUCAAUGGGUUUCAAAUUUCAACUUCAAAGAUUAUAAUUAAAUUGAUCUGGAUCAACAUUUGAAAUUACACUUGAAUUGAAAUUGAAGAAGAAUGACUGAAGAUGUAACCUGAAAAUAGGAAAUUAAAAGGAAAUUACCAAGUACGAACGAAGGCAGAAAAUUCAACACCAAAAUGUGAUCUAAAGGAAUCAGAAGAAACAAAAACUCACAAAUGGGUUUUUGUUUUGACCCUCAAUCAUGAUGAUGUGAUCCAUCUUCUCGUUCGAUCCUCCCUUGUCCUCAUUCCAAGCCCGCUUUGAACGUCAAAAUAUCUUCUCCACACACAACAUAUCCUCCAUGACAUCCAAGCGAGACAUCAACGUUCUCUGCAAUCCACAAACCUGAAAUUUAAGAUAUAUCAGUUACCUACCUCCAUCAUUCUGCACGAUUUUGUUUAAAAAAAUGAACGACUAUAGAAUCACAUACUCUCUAACCCUAGACGUCGAAAAAAAUCCAUAUAUUAGAACAACAAAGGUACUCCCGAUCCUUCUCCCACCUCAAAGCUAGUUGUCGGACGGUGGCUGACUCGCAGUCGCAGUAGGGAACAUCGUCAACGGUCAGUAGUGUUAAUGUAUGCAAUCGACGAUGCUCGCAGUUGAGCUACGAGCUCGUCGGAUUUGGGGUAGACGAUGACUACUCAAAAACAGGGUGGAUUCUAGGGUUUCUAAUAACCAAAGUAUAGAAUCCGUUAAGUCGAAAG
rnacentral:lncRNA from 1 species